rnacentral:lncRNA from 1 species
AAAAAAAAAAGUAAAAAAUAAAAAUAAAGGAGGAGAAAAAAAAAAAAAGGAGAAUGUAAUAAAAAAAAAAAAGAAAAAAAAAAGAAAGAAAACAAAUAAACUCAGGGAAAAAAAAUCUCUACGAAGUGAGAUCCCCUCGGUAUCUUCCGCUCUUUUGCAGAUGUUUCUCUUCUUUGAUCACCUGUAACGAGAAAGAGGAAAGGGAAGAAGCAGAGAGAGAGAGAGAGAGAGAGAGAGACAGAGAGUGGCAGAGAGAAACGUGCUUGAGAAGCUCUGAACUUUAGCACCUGACUUUUUAGGCAGCAGCAAACCCAUCCCAUCCCGCGGCAGCCAUCCCUGGGAAGCGCCUGCUCUGCCCUGGACCCACCUCUCCCAGCGCCUCUUUCUCUUUCGCUCUCUCCCCGCCCGUCUCGCAGCAGCUCCGGCCGCCGCAGCUCGCUUGUUUUGCCCUUUUUUUUUUUUCUUUUUUCUUUUUUUCUCCUUUUUACCCCCCCUUUUUUUUUUUCGGGGUCGCCGCGGUCGUUUGUUUAUUUGUUUGUUUGCCCAAUUUGCACCUGAGAAGCUCCGGCGGCUUAAGCCCGGGAAGGCAUUCUUUCUGAAAGGAGCAGGAUGGCGCCAGCCGGCUCAGUGCUUACAGACAGCUGUGGCGAGACGCAACUUAAGGAGGUUCCAGUGUCAUAAGCACGGGGGAGGCGGAGCCUGGCCCCGGCUGAGGAGGGGACCGGCGGGGCGCACCCGGAGCCUCCGCGCUGCCCCCGCCGCGCACCCGCGGGAACCCCGCGCCGGGCGGCGCAAUUUCACCAACUUCUUUUUUCCCUCCCCUAUUUUAUUCUUUAUUUCUUAUUCUCUCACUCUAUUCUUUCUUAUUAUUUUUACUAUUGAAUUUUCUUUCUUUUCCUUUUUCCUCUUUUUAUUUUUUCUUUUUUCUUAUUUGCUUUUUUCUUUUCCUUUUUUUCCUUUUUUUCCUUUUUCCUUUUCCUUCUUUUCUUUUUUCUUUUUCUAUUUUUUUUCCUUUUUCCUUUCUUUUUCUUUUUCCUUUUUUUUUUCUUUUUCCUUUUUCUCCACUUCAUUUUUUUUUUUUAAAGGGGUUAACUAACUUUUCCCGCUGGCCACCAAACUCUGUGAGAGGCAGGCAGUUCCCGGACGUUAUGCGAUGGAGUGGGGCCGCUUCCCCUCUUCCACUCCCCAGCACCUCGGGGGUCUGGAGGUUCAAGAGCGGCCGGAUCCCACUCCAGGAUGCGCCGGCAGGUGCAGCACCUCCGAGGGCUGGCGACCCGAAAGGCGGCCGCUUCUCUUUGCGAGGGGCUGCCGGCGGCUUUAGGGCUGCUCCCUCUGAGGAUUUGCUUUUUGGAUAUAAACUCUGAGAAGGAAAUAAUACAAUUUGGGGGCUUUUUUAUUUUUUUUUGCCCAGUUCUACCGGAGAUGUUGGUUCUCCUGGACACCUACCGGAGCCCUGCAGGGGACGUGCAGCAGGGCUUAGGACGGCUCCGCAGACCCCUUCGGGACGUCCCCCACCCCCCGUGUCCCGCUCCGUCCCGGCCGUCCCCGGUCUCGAACCCGCGGCUCCCCACGGCGCCUCCCGCCUCCCUCAGCCAAUGGGGGGCGAGCAGGAACCGGGGCGGCGGGCGCGGGCCACGCUGAUUGGCUACUGCCCGCCCCCCCCCCUCCCGGUC